rnacentral:rRNA from 1 species
UACGUAGGGUGCGAGCGUUAAUCGGAAUUACUGGGCGUAAAGCGUGCGCAGGCGGUGAUGUAAGACAGUUGUGAAAUCCCCGGGCUUAACCUGGGAAUGGCAUUUGGGACUGCAAGGCUGGAGUGCGGCAGAGGAGACUGGAAUUCCUGGUGUAGCAGUGAAAUGCGUAGAUAUCAGGAGGAACACCGAUGGCGAAGGCAGGUCUCUGGGCUGACACUGACGCUCAUGCACGAAAGCGUGGGGAGCAAACAGG